rnacentral:lncRNA from 1 species
GUUUUUUCUUGGUGGCUAUGUUUUUAGACUGGUCUGGAUCUCUAUUCAUCUUCCAGAUGUACAAGGCAAUACACUUCAUGUGAUGUUAGGAAUAAUGUAUUUCUAUGAAUUAUUGUAUUCGUGUUUGUUGUGGCUGAUAUUGAAUAUUUAUAGUUCUGGCUGUGUCCUGAAUUCUUGGUGGCUAUGUGUGUGUGUGUGUGUGUUUUUUUUUUUUUAAAAUGCUCUUUUUAUUGUUAAAUCUCAAUCUAUUAGAUUGGGAAAGUUAUCCUUCUUUUUGUUAUUGAUAGGAGGCCAGGUCUUACGCUGAUACGCUCCCUUCAAAGUUUGUAUUUUUUGCUUUAUUUUCUAUAUUGGUAUGAAUAGAAGGGAUGAAAAUGACCUGGGGUUGGUUUGUAGAUGCUGCACCGUGUUGCCUUUCCCAUUCUUCCAGAUAUGUAUUUCUUUGUUGUUUGUCCUCUGAAUCCAACCCAACAGCACACCAAAAGCAUAGGCACUUUCUGUUUCUCACAGAAACAUGCACCGUGAGGAAAAAUUCGGCCAAGAAUACCACAUUGUUUGUUUCUGCCGUGUAAUGCAGAGGAGUAAUCCGAUCCCUUCCCUGAACACGAAUCAGUUUUGGAUUGUGUUUUACAAGCCUUUUUGCAGUCUCAACACGAUUGUUGUGCAAAGCUAGGUGCUAGGGACUAAAACUAUCUGGAUUUAUCUUUUUACUAAACAAAGGUUUUAAGCUCAUGAUUUCGACUGCAAAGGGUGUAUGUCCAGCAGAGGCUGCUGCUAUAUGUAAAGGUUAUCUGACUAAUGGUAUAUUUUAAUGUCUUCUAGAUUCAGGUUCUGCCCAGGGAUUUGAAUACAAACCAUGGACAUCUCCUGCUUGUGCAACUUCUUCCAACAGUGGAUCCUUCCAUUAUAGAGGUGGCUCAAACAAUUUAGGGGCCUUAUCUAGGCUUAGACGACUACCUCACUUGAGCUGCCUCUUAUUGUGCUUAACAGAUUCAGCUCCUAUUAACUAUAAAAGAAAUCAUUAUUGCCUUGAUUUAGCCAAUGGAUUAUUCUACUUGUACUAAAUCAUGUACAAAAAUGGGUUACAAAAUCAAUAAGUGACGGCCCCCUAUUGGAGGGGCGGCUGUCCCAAUAGGGGCCACCAUUUGUUGAUUUUGUAACCCAUUUUGUACUCAUAGCAUGGUCCUUGGCCAAUUUAGUCCCCCGAGUGAAGGAAACUCAAUAGUCAAAGUAGGGGCCAUUGGGUGCUGGCUAGUUUUUUGACCAGAUCCUCCUAAAAACCCCUUUUGAAUGGAAAGAAGUGGGAGAGCGGGAUGAUUUAUCGGAUCUGACAUUGGAUAACCUUUAGCGUGGGGUGGUCAUUGGAGUUUUCCGACCCUCCUCUGAAUAUUGCUUUAUGUUUCUGGAAAGUUAAGAAACUAAAGAUUUAACUAAACAUUACAACCAGUCUAGUUUGUUUCAGCCUUUUAGAUUAUUUAUCAUGAAAUUUUUGGAUUAUGGGCUCAAUACUUUCUGUAGUUUCAGCUAUUCAUUAUC